GCCCUUUAUCGGAUUUGAACCGAUGA
rnacentral:tRNA from 12 species